CUGAAGGAAAAUAACAAGGUAAAGUUAAGAAAUUGAAAAAUAAAAAGCGUGCUUAGCAAGCUAAAGUUACAUACUUUAGCUGCCAAAUACAGAAAAAGACCUCUGAACUUCUUUGAGAAAAUAUUUAGAACUUUUUGCAUUUGAUGAUGAAGUGGAAUAAGCUGAAGUCGAUGAAGGUGAAGUGUAACUCUUCAGAGAAAUUGACUCUCUUGUGCUAGCUGCGAGAUAAGCUGAAGUCGAUGAAGGUGUAGAGUAACUCUUCAGAGAAAGUGACUCGCUCAUGCUUGCUUCUCUCUCCUCCUCUUUGAUGGUUUCCAGCAUCUUUGAGGCUCGGUUUCUCAUGACAUUAACAAACUGUGGUGGUGCUACCUCUGUAACAAACCUAGCAAUACGAGCAUUUGCCAUAUUUUUCG
rnacentral:lncRNA from 1 species